UACGGGGGGGGCAAGCGUUGUUCGGAAUUACUGGGCGUAAAGCGCAUGUAGGCGGUUUCGCAAGUCGGGUGUGAAAGCCCAGGGCUCAACCCUGGAAGUGCACUCGAUACUACGGAGCUGGAGUCUUGAAGAGGAGAGCGGAAUUCCCGGUGUAGAGGUGAAAUUCGUAGAUAUCGGGAGGAACACCAGUGGCGAAGGCGGCUCUCUGGGCAAUGACUGACGCUGAGAUGCGAAAGCGUGGGUAGCAAACAGG
rnacentral:rRNA from 1 species